rnacentral:rRNA from 1 species
CGUAGGUAACCUGCCUGGUAGCGGGGGGUAACUAUUGGAAACGAUAGCUAAUACCGCAUAACAGUCGACAUUGCAUGAUAUUGAUUUGAAAGGGGCAAUUGCUCCACUACCAGAUGGACCUGCGUUGUAUUAGCUAGUUGGUGAGGUAACGGCUCACCAAGGCGACGAUACAUAGCCGACCUGAGAGGGUGAUCGGCCACACUGGGACUGAGACACGGCCCAG